rnacentral:rRNA from 1 species
AACGCUGGCGGCGUGGAUAAGACAUGCAAGUCGAACGGGAUUACUUUUGUAGCAAUACAGAAGUAAUUCAGUGGCGAACGGGUGCGUAACACGUGGGCAAUCUGCCGAAAAGUGGGGGAUAGCUCGCCGUAAGGCGAAUUAGUACCGCAUGUGGUGAGGGACGACAUCUUCCUGAAUCCAAAGCCGGGGCAACCUGGCGCUUUUUGAGGAGCCCGCGGCCUAUCAGCUAGUUGGUGAGGUAACGGCCCACCAAGGCUAUGACGGGUGGCUGGUCUGAGAGGACGACCAGUCACACUGGAACUGAGACACGGUCCAGACACCUACGGGUGGCAGCAGUCGAGAAUUUUUCUCAAUGGGGGCAACCCUGAAGGAGCGACGCCGCGUGGAGGAUGAAGGCUUUCGGGUUGUAAACUCCUGUCAUUUGAGAACAAGUGCCAACAAGUAACUACUGUUGGCUUGAUAGCAUCAGAAGAGGAAGGGACGGCUAACUCUGUGCCAGCAGCCGCGGUAAUACAGAGGUCCCAAGCGUUGUUCGGAUUCAUUGGGCGUAAAGGGUGCGUAGGUGGCGCCGUAAGUCGGGUGUGAAAUUUCGGAGCUUAACUCCGAAACUGCAUUCGAUACUGCGGUGCUUGAGGACUGGAGAGGAGACUGGAAUUCAUGGUGUAGCAGUGAAAUGCGUAGAGAUCAUGAGGAAGACCAGUGGCGAAGGCGGGUCUCUGGACAGUUCCUGACACUGAGGCACGAAGGCCAGGGGAGCAAA